rnacentral:lncRNA from 1 species
GAUUAGAUGUUUCCGAACUCGAAUAACACAGCGUCAACAAACUAAACAAGGAGAAACACCCCGGCGUCCCCCACCUCCCGACCUCCACCAACCCCCGCCGCCGCCCCAAUCCCCUAGCAUCCACCAGCCCUGUGCGCUGCGGCGCCGCCCUCGCUUCCUUCCGGCGCCCCGUCGGCCCACCUCCUCGGCCGCGCCGCGGAUCGGCCCCCUCCGCCGCGUCGCGGAUCCGCCCCCUCCUGGCAGAUCCCUCCCGCACGGCGAGCUAGAAGUUCGGAGCGCCACCACCGCUCCCUUCUCCAGCGACCCCUCCCGCACGGCGAGCUGGAUGCAGUUGAUCCCCGGGGCUUGGGCAGUUCAGCCCAUCCGGCGAGCACGGCCGUCUCCUGCCACCCCCAAUAGAUGCGACCCAGCGGGUCCGAUGGAUGCUCACACCGGGAGGCGGUGCUGCUCCGGCAAGCUCCUUCUUCCUCGAGCACAUUCGUCUCCAGCUGCCUUCGAACAGCCGCGACCCACCGAAUCCGACGGAUGCUCACGCGUCCUUGAGUGCGGCACGUCGACAACAACCUCCUUGUUCUCGUUCCCUCCUCCAUCCCCGAGCACAACUUCGACGAGCCUGUCGACAGGUUAGUCCUACUAACUGUUGUUCACCAUGAACUGGCUAUAGAGCAUUCGUGGCAGGUCGAGUAAAAUUCUCAUGGCCGUUCAAGUAAAACUGGAAGCGAGAGAAUUGAAAAUCUGACAGUAAGAAAGUUUUCGGAGAACGUUUUUAUGUUUGCUGGAAUCGCCUAGGUGAACUAACAUUGUUUACUUUGUGAAAAGUCUGAACGUGGUGUUUGGAUGAGAACUGGAGUUCAGGUUGUUGACUAGCUGAAGAUCCAACAGCCAUCUUUCUUAUUGGCAGUGGCCGCGAUAGUGGGCAUGGUGGUGGCCUUCGUGCAGCCGCCGAUGCGGUCAAAACAUUCAAUGCCUGUAGAGGCCCUGUAGGUCUCUCCAUUCAAUGCCUCUUGUGAAGUGACUUCACAAAUUUUAUCUUGUAUAAAGUGAUUCUGAACCUGUGAAACUGGUGAUCACAUAUCUAUAUCCCCCAAGCAGCAAUGCGGUGCGGGUGCUCAAUUUGGCUACAAAUUUUGCUAUAAUUUCUGAAGUGUUUCUGUGUUGUUGCUAUGAGGUGAAUUGUGGCUGUUUCGACGUUGACUACAGUUAACUUAUAGUGGAAUACACUUUGUUUGUAGCAUAUGCGUUCCAUUGAGAAAGCAAAAGCGUUGGGUUCAGUCUGAAAAAGUACGGCAAUUCAUUCACAUAUAUUGUGUUACCUCUGAACCAGAGAGUAAAUCACACAAAUGUAGCUCCUUUACUCUACAGGUACGAACUUGAUCGGCUUAUCUUUCUCAAUUAUUAUUUGUUUCUGGACAAGUAACUCACGUAGUCUGCUUCCUUUUGAGACUAAUCAACUUCGUUUGAUAAUUCUUGGACAGGUUUGUCAUACAUUCGACGUUGGUGGCUUUUGUGCUAUUCUGCUCAAGAAAAAUGAUCUUUGGGGAACUUUGCUAGUAGUAGACACAAAGUGUGCUUUUAAAUACCUACAGAGCAUCAUAUCAUCUAUAUUUGUUUUGAAAUGCUAUGCAUAUCCAUUCUGGCCGCAAAAAUAUGCAUGGUUGACUGGCAGAAGUUCACUACGAGUUGUCAUAUUAUUCUUCAGAGUUCAGAUAAUUGUAUUUUGGGCCGCUGGAACCUGAUGGCUCAAGCUUGUAAAAGGAUAUUCAGAAGUUCGAAAAUAAAAAAUAGUGUCAUGUGUUGCUGCGUCCGUGCUAGGUCUUGUGUCUCGUGUGUGUCCGCACUCACUAUGUGGGUGCUUCGUGUGUUCGUGUGCGUGUCGUGCUCUUUAUGUCCUUGUUCUUCUUCACAAAAGGUUAACCAUU